CAUUAAUUAAACAGCUAGUGGUCAAUGCCCGAUCUCAUCUGACCUCUGAAGCUAAGUAGGGUUGGGUCUAGUUAUUACUUGGAUGGGGGACUGCUGCGGCUACCAGGAAUGU
rnacentral:rRNA from 1 species